ensembl:snoRNA
GAGCCUGAAGUGAUGAUUCUUUAAAGAAUACGUCUCUUUUCUGACGUUUUUCUCUGGAGAUAGUUCUUGCCUUACCGACCUCAUUAGGCUU